rnacentral:rRNA from 1 species
CACGUAGGCACCAAGCGUUGUCCGGAUUUAUUGGGCGUAAAGAGCUCGUAGGCGGUUCGAUAAGUCGGGUGUGAAAACUUUGGGCUCAACCCAAAGCGUGCAUUCGAUACUGUUGUGACUAGAGUUCGGUAGGGGAGUGGGGAAUUCCUAGUGUAGCGGUGAAAUGCGCAGACAUUAGGAGGAACACCGGUGGCGAAGGCGCCACUCUGGGCCGAAACUGACGCUGAGGAGCGAAAGCGUGGGUAGCAAACAGG